rnacentral:rRNA from 1 species
AGAGUUUGAUCAUGGCUCAGAAUCAACGCUGGCGGCGUGCCUAACACAUGCAAGUCGAACGCGAAAGGGGCUUCGGCCCUGAGUAGAGUGGCAAACGGGUGAGUAACACGUGGGUGACCUGCCUCAGAGUGGGGGAUAACGUUCCGAAAGGAGCGCUAAUACCGCAUGACAUCCUGCGCUUGGAAGCGCGGUGAUUAAAGCCGGGGAUCGCAAGACCUGGCGCUUGGAGAGGGGCCCGCGGCCGAUUAGCUAGUUGGUGGGGUAACGGCUCACCAAGGCAACGAUCGGUAUCCGGCCUGAGAGGGCGGACGGACACACUGGGACUGAGACACGGCCCAGACUCCUACGGGAGGCAGCAGUGGGGAAUUGUUCGCAAUGGGCGCAAGCCUGACGACGCAACGCCGCGUGGAGGAUGAAGAUCUUCGGGUCGUAAACUCCUUUCGAUCGGGAAGAACGGCUUCCGGGUGAAUAGCCCGGGAGAGUGACGGUACCGAGAGAAGAAGCCCCGGCUAACUCCGUGCCAGCAGCCGCGGUAAUACGGGGGGGGCAAGCGUUGUUCGGAAUUACUGGGCGUAAAGGGCUCGUAGGCGGCCAACUAAGUCGGAUGUGAAAUCCCCAAGCUUAACUUGGGAACUGCAUCCGAUACUGGAUGGCUUGAAUCCGGGAGAGGGAUGCAGAAUUCCAGGUGUAGCGGUGAAAUGCGUAGAUAUCUGGAGGAAUACCGGUGGCGAAGGCGGCAUCCUGGACCGGCAUUGACGCUGAUGAGCGAAAGCUAGGGGAGCAAACGGGAUUAGAUACCCCGGUAGUCCUAGCCCUAAACGAUGAAUGCUUGGUGUGGCGGGUAUCGAUCCCUGCUGUGCCGAAGCUAACGCAUUAAGCAUUCCGCCUGGGGAGUACGGUCGCAAGG